rfam:Podospora anserina genomic DNA, chromosome 7.
GUCGCUUUGGCGGAGUGGUUAACGCGCGGCCCUGCUAAGGCCGUUUCUUCGGAAGCGUAGGUUCGAAUCCUGCAGGCGACG